CAAUAGCGUAUAUUAAAGUUGUUGCAGUUAAAAAGCUCGUAGUUGGAUUUCGGGGCAGCCUGGCUGGUCCGCCGCAAGGCGAGUACUGGUCAGCCGCCCUUCCUCUCGAAAGCCCCGACUGCUCUUUACUGUAGUGGUCGGGUAGUUCGGGACGUUUACUUUGAAAAAAUUAGAGUGUUCAAGGCAGGCCUACGCCUGAAUACAUUAGUAUGGAAUAAUGGAAGAGGACCUCGGUCCUAUUUUGUUGGUUUCCAGGGCCGAAGUAAUGAUUAAGAGGGACAGUUGGGGGCAUUCGUAUUUAAUUGUCAGAGGUGAAAUUCUCGGAUUUAUGAAAGACGAACAACUGCGAAAGCAUUUGCCAAGGAUGUUUUCAUUAA
rnacentral:rRNA from 1 species